rnacentral:rRNA from 1 species
AUACGGAGGGUGCAAGCGUUAAUCGGAAUUACUGGGCGUAAAGCGUACGUAGGCGGUCCGUUAAGUUAGAUGUGAAAGCCCCGGGUUUAACCUGGGAACUGCAUUUAAAACUGGCGAACUAGAGUUGAGUAGAGGGGAGUGGAAUUUCAGGUGUAGCGGUGAAAUGCGUAGAGAUCUGAAGGAACACCAGUGGCGAAAGCGACUCCCUGGACUCGAACUGACGCUGAGGUACGAAAGCGUGGGUAGCAAACGGGAUUAGAAACCCUAGUAGUCC